CAAAGUUUGAAUAAGCUGAGUUUGUCCCGUUUCAUUUUUAUAUAAAAAACAUUGAAAGCAGUAGAGAACGGAACAUCUUAAAGCAAAUGGUUGCUUUUCAUUCACCAUAGACAUAAGUAAGACAACAAUCGCAGGUCUAAAUGAAUUAUGAGGAUUGCUAGGUGCCAUUACUCCAGCUAAAAAUUCUUGGUUACUGGAAUUUCCCCUAAUAACUUCAGCCACUGUAUUAAUAGUCUCAGUCAGUACAUCCGCAGGUACACCAUUAGCCAUCAAUAUGUUACACAAAGCUUGUAGAAGACCACAGGCUCUCAUAAUGUGUUGACAAUUCGAUACUGCCUUUACAUGUAUGUAUAUGUGUGUGUGUAUAUAUAUAUAUAUAUAAAAUAAGUAAAAAAAUUGUUUUUAUA